GACGAACGCUGGCGGCGUGCUUAACACAUGCAAGUCGAACGGUGAAGCGCCUACCUUUUUGGUGGGUGUGGGUGAGUGGCCAACGGGGGGGUAACACGUUAGUAACCUGCCCCCUUCUGGUGGAUAACCGCAUGAAGGUGUGGCUAAUACGGGAUAUUCUGUGUCUGUCGCAUGAUGGGUCUGGGGGAGAUUUUGCUUCGGUGUGGGAUGGGCUCGCGGCCUAUCAGCUUGUUGGUGGAGUGAUGGCCUAACAAGGCGGUGCCGGGUAGCCGGCCUGGGAGGGUGGGCCGUCAUACUAGGGAUGCGACACGGAGAAGACUACUACGGGAAGCAGCAGGGAGGAAUAUUGCACGAUGGGAGGAAGGCUGCUGCAGCGACGCCGCGUUGGAGAUGGAGGCCUUCGGGUUGUGAACCUCUUUCGCGAGUGAAGAAGGCCUGCCUCGUUUGUGGGUGGGUUGACGGUAGCUGGAGAAGAAGCGCCGGCUAACUACGUG
rnacentral:rRNA from 1 species